rnacentral:sRNA from 1 species
AAAAACUUAAAGAUUCAACAGGAAAUUAAAGGAACAUAUUUAGGGUUUUCACAAAAGAGGCUAGAACAAAAGGAAUAAAAGAGGAAUAUCCAUUAGGUAAAGGGAAGGGGUCUAUUUAUAGCAAAUACUAGGUUGUUCUAAUUCGCUAGACGACAAAAUAGAGAGGCGGUUUGGUCC